rnacentral:tRNA from 1 species
AAAAAUUUAGUUAAUAUAAUAACGUUAGUUUGUCAAACUAAAAUUAAUAAAAAAAUUAAUUUUUA